CGGGGAUGUGGAUUUCAGGUUCACCUGGGAGUGCAGCAAAGACGAUGAUGUCAGAUCUCUAGGGCUGAGAGGCACUCCUGUUGGAAGGUGGAUGAGUGGCUGAGCCUCACUGGGAAAACUGGGUCCUGGAACCCAUUGGGAUCCCUCCUACCAGGAGUGAGUGGCUUUCUAGAUUAUAGCUUUCAGACAGGAGUGUGGAGGGUGCACAGGGAAAGCCGGUGCUCAGCAAUGUUAACCCAACUUGUUUGAGGAAAGACCCACCCAGACUCCAUUUUUAUCUCCCGAACCUUCACCCCCAUUUUCCACUUAUCUAUGGCUGAUGGCGCGAAAACAAGGUCUUUGUUUCUCGGUCUAACGGUCUAACUGGGUACCUGCUGCUGUGGUUCCACCCACUUGAAGACUCACUGGCUUAAGCCUGUGACAUCACAAGUCCGGUCGCUGCGGAAACGGGCAAUGAGGUCAGACAGCAGGGGUCCGAUGGCUUUGGGCUGGGGUUGGAGGGGCCAGUGUUUGCAGAAUGGAGCUUGAAAGGGGUGAUUGGCAGGUACUGCUUUUGUUACUGUUCUCCAGACAGGCACACUGAGGCCCUUGUGUUCUCUCCUCCUCUGGCCAGACUCCAUCCCUGGCGACAGAAUCACGUGACAUCUGAGGCAGGACCAGACAAACAUCCAGCCUCUCUGAGGGACCCAAUGUCAUGAUUCUCACAUGUAGCCAUGUUUGGAAAUCCCUGGCCUGAAUGCCCCUCCUCAUGGUUAUAUAGCAACCCUGCACACGUAUUAGAAGUGCAGGAUGGAGGCCCCAACAACAGUGGGUCUGUAUUUUAAUUAGCCCUGUGUGACAGUUGAGUAUCUCCUCUCCUGGGUGUUGAAAUGUCAUAGAGGACCUGCCUCAUGGAGCCCUGGGCUCAAGGCUUCUUUCUUCCUCUUACCCCACCAGCCUUGGUAUGAGGUAUCAACCCCACAUUGUAUGUUGGACUCAGAAGCCCCUAGGGAAGGAGAGAAGGUUUCACCCUUCUCCAGGACCCACCAUCAACAUACUUCAUCUCCAACCUGCAGAGGAAGGGUCUGGAGAAAACGGAGUAUGGAAGAGGGCAGGAGACUCUUACACGCGUUCUCGCGACCGGCCAGGAAGAACACAACAAACCGGAAUCUUCUGCGGCAAAAGCUUUAUUGCUUACAUCUUCAGGAGCCAGAGAGCAAGAGAGCAAGAGCUCUAUUGCUUACAUCUUUAGGAGCCAGAGCGCAAGAGUGCAAGAGCAAGAGAGCAAGAGUGCAAGCGCUUUAUUGCUUACAUCUUUAGGAGCCAGAGCGCAAGAGAGCAAGAGAGAGAAUGGCGA
rnacentral:lncRNA from 1 species